AUGGUGAAACCCUGUCUCUGCUAAAAAUGUAAGAAUUAGCUGGGUGUGGUGGCACACACCUGUAAUCGUAGCUACUCAGGAGGCUGAGGCAUGAAAAUUGCUUUAACCCGAGGGGCAGAGGUUGCAGUGGGCCGAGAUUAUGCCACUGCACUCCACCCUGGGUGACAGAGUAACAGUCUCAGAAAAAGAAAAAGGAAUAGUAGUGGGUCUUCAGAUACUUAGAUGUCAUGAGCUGGGACUUUAAUGGGCCAUUUUUAAAAUUUGACAUUAAAAAUUCCGUCCUAAUGCCAGUAAAUAAUUUUCAUCAUUUAAUUCCGCAUGUUUUUGGUAUAUUCAUCUAGCACCUUCUGAAUGUUAUUAGACCUCCUAUAUAGUUAACCUUGGAUAUCAUAUGGUGGUUUGGUAGACUUUUUUUUUUUUUUAAUACACACACGUCUUUUAGCUUGGUUGAUAUGCCCUCAGCCUGAAAGAUAACAACUUGCUUAUUUAUUACACAACCAGAUUACUUGACUCCCUAUGUUUGAAGUCCCCAGUUUAGAUUGGUUAUUAAGUAAGCAUUCAUUAGAUUUUCAAUUAUUUAUAAAAGCUAAAUAUAAAGAACCACAAACUAUUUCAACAAGUUAAUACAGCCAAAGCAUAUAGAUAAAUAUAUGAAACAAUACAGUAAAUACAUGAGACCAAAAAUUCAGUCUUUCAUCAGUCUGGAAAUAAACAAAUAUUUUGUGUGUGAUUGUUUCUGAAACUGCAGACAGGUAUUUUUAAUUCUUAACUCCUACUGUGUUCAGUACAUUAUUCAGAAGAUUAGCCAGGAACAGAAAAUGUGCAAUUUAAUUUCCCUUAGGUUCAAGGUAUAAGCUAAACAGAGUCUUUCCCUGCACAAAUUAUCAAGUUGGCUGUGUUUCACUGGAUAGGAGAUGGGACAGUGGGAAUCUUGUUUGUUCAUUGAUGGGCGUCAUUAUUUAGAUGGUGAGGCAUUUGGCUACCUUGAAAGUCAUCUUUACUCCCUGUUACCCUCACUUUAUUGAAUUUCUUUACUUUGACUUUCAGAGCUCUGGGCAGAAAUCACAUAUUAGUUUGGAGGACUUUGUUAUUUUAUUCAAGUUAAAGUAUAGGGUUUCCCCAAAUUGAAAACCAGAGUAGCCUAUGAUCAUUCCCUGUGGGAUUCUUUAACUGUUAAGGCAAAAGAAAAUGCAGUUGCACUUAAGAGUAUAUGGAUAAAAUAAAGAACUGUGAAGUGAAAAGGGGAGAGAUUUUUUUAAAGAUGACUAUAUUUUAACUCCUCCUGACUAGUAAAUUCAAGGAUACCAGGAAAGAUGAGGUGUAGACUUUAAACCUUCCAACAUUCCAUUGUGUUAAUCAUUCUUCCUCAUCAAAGAGGCAGUAAGGGAUAAUUUAGAGUGACUACAGUUACAAAUAAUGUGCUGUAUAAGCACCCAAGAGCAGAGAUAAGGAUGGAAUUAAGGGUGUUAAAGAAAAUAUGGCCUCUCUUCUUUACCAUUUGAUUGUUUUUGCUGUCCCUGGAGACUCAUAUCUCUCUCUAUUCCUAGGACCAAAGUUUACACAACUGCCAAAUAUAUAAACAAGAACACCCCUUAAAAUUCCUGUGAAACAUUGUACAUCUUAAGAGAGCAGAUGUGUCUAUGGGCUGUCACAAAUAUCAGUCUUGCUAUGUUAAGCAUAAACUUAACAAAUAUUAGUGGAGACACACUAUUUAGGAUUCGCCUAAAACCCUCUAAGAUAGAGGUCCCCAAUCCCGGCCCCUGAUCGGCCGCACCUGCAGGAGGUGAGUGAUGGGCCAGUGAACAUCAUAGCUGAGCUCAGCCUCCUGUCAGAUCAGUGGCCGCAUUAGAUUCUCAUAGGUGUGAGAACCCAAUUGUGAAGUGCACGUGUGAGGGAUCUAGGUUGUGCUCUCCUUAUGAGAAUCUAACUAAUGCCUGAUAAUCUGAGGUGGAAGAGUUUCAUGCCAAAACCAUCCCCUUGCCCUGUCCAUUGAAAAAUUGUCCUCCACAAAACGGGUCCCUGGUGCCAAAAAGGUUGGGAACCACUGCUCUAAGGUGUCCAGUGUUGGCUGACCCCUCUCCCUACUUAUGCACCCAUUGGCUUGCCUAACAGCUGAUUGAUUUCUGUUUAAAUAGACACAGUAUAUUGGGGCAGUUUAUUGCAUCUUUGGUCAUCUCUUUUCCUCUGGGUCCCUAGGACGGAAGACAAUAUCCUAAGUUGAUUCUGUCUAACAAAACAUGAGUAAAAUGAGGAAUUGGUUAGGUAGGUGGCAAACAGCAAAGAUUAUAUGGACUUGUAGCUUGCUCCAUAAGUAGACUUUAACCAAGUAAGCUAUUUGAAAAACAAUCUUAAUUUUUUUCAAGUGUUAUUUUUAAUUCUAUAGGAAUAUUUUCAUAAAAAUAAUGAUGUCCAUUAUGUUAGCAACUAGAAUUACAAUGGCAAGUUUUAGGAGAUGCUUGAAAUGUGAGAUGUUACAUUUAAAACUAUAAAGUUAUCGACCUAAGUAUAUGAUUGUACCCAUGUGGCAGUAAACUUAAAACUUCCAGUUUCAGGUUUUGUUGUUUGUUUGUUUGUUUGUUUUAAAGAGUUGUUAAUGGGGGAAAGGAAAGGAAUAUGUGAGGGAGAUUGGCUUGCAAAGCCUAAAAUAUUUCUUAUGUGGCCCUAUAUAGAAAAAGCUUGUGUAUUCUGGACAAGAGCAAUUAAAGGAAAUAGUUUGGACUUAAAACUUCUAAAAAUAAAUAGUGCUCAAAUUGCACUUGGAAGUCAGAGACCUUGCUGGUCAUCAAAGGGUUCAGUUCAGUCAGUAGUUAGAAAAGACAGAAGCCAGCUUAGCCAAGAGUCAGAAUACAAAUAUUCAGAACCGAUUAAUAGGCAAAUAAUUAUAUAUACCAUGUCCCAGCCAGUAGAUGGAAUAAUAUGCCACCAUUAAAUUUAUAUUAACAUGUAAAAAUGUUUGGAGUUUAGGGCUCUUUACCCAUAUCUUAGUGACAUAGGAAGAAAAUUAAGAUAAAUCACAAGCAACUAGAAAAUAGACAUGUUAACUUUAUUUUAGUACAUACUCUGGUAGGAUUUUUACAUAAUCUUACGUACUAGUCAGCCUUCUUAGAAGUGUCACAUAGUCAAUAUCCUUAAAGAGAAAUGGAAGCUAAUCAGGUAAGUAAAUUGUGAGCUGAGGCCUACAUCAUGCUUGCUAUUCAAAGAGAAUAAAGUAAUUGGAUAAAUGAUAAUGCCUCCUUGUUGGGAAAACAGUCUUCAAAAAUGGCACUAAGUUACAGUUCUAAUGCAAUAGAGUCACUAAUUACUAUGAAUACUUGUUUUACUUGGCAGAUUACUAACAAAGUUAAUUGGAUACAAUAAAUGUAAAGAUUUUCUUUUAAAACGACAGAUUCUUCAGUGAGGUGUAAACAUUUUAUAGAACAAUUAUCAAAGCUAUAUUGGACUUAAAUAUUGGUCAUGAAUGUAUGCACACCCCAUAGGUAGCUGCCCUCCUUGGGCAGCUUUUGACUCCUAUGCCAAAUUUUAAAAUAAAGGCCGUGGCCAGGCGUGGUGGCUCAUGCCUGUAAUCCCAACACUUCAGGAGUCCAAAGCGGGCGGAUCGCGAGGUCAGGAGAUCGAGACCGUCCUGGCUAACACGGUGAAACCCUGUCUCUACUAAAAAUACAAAAAAAAAAAAUUAGCCGGGCGUGGUUGCAGGCGCCUGUAGUUCCAGCUCCUUUGGGAGGCUGAGGCAGGAGAAGGAUCUGAACCCGGGAGGCAGACCUUGCAGUGAGCCAAGAUCGCGCCACUGCACUCCAGCCUGGGCAAGAGCGAGACUCCAUCUCAAAAAAAUAAAAUAAAGGCCAUAUGUUUAAUCACAUUCCCCAAAAGGAGAACUUCAUAAGGCACUAAUGAGUAAUGUUUAUUUUACGAAUGAUUUUACGGGAAAAAUUACAGAGGAUGUUUAAAUUGCAAAAAUACUCCUCCCCUUUUUUCUCCUCCACCGCCCCCCAAAAAAAAUCCUUUGCAGUUAUCACCUAAGCUUUUUGGGUGUGUGAUUUAAAAAAAAAAAAAAAAAACCACAAGACCUACCUUAACAAUUUAAGUAUGCAGUAUUGUUUCUUCUCAGCUGCCCAGUCUUUGUAAUUCUUAUUUCUUAUGCAGAACAAUUUAGCAUUUGACCCUACUAUCACCAAAAAAAAAAAAAAAAGAAAAAAAUAUAUAGCAGUUGAGGGCAGUAUACAAGCUUAGUAAGUAUAUUCUGGUACUUGCUUAGGAAGUAGGAAAUGUGAUCAGAUUCUGUUCUCUACCAUAUGACACUGAUUUGCAAGGCCCCGGGUACAGGACUACUGGUAAAAAGAACCCUGUAACUUCCUGUCACAGAGGGACACAGCAAUAUAUAUAAAACAGCAUCUGCCGUAAAUCUUUGGGGAACGUCUUACUAGAUUUAACCAGCUAAUUUUACUAGGUAUUUAGGAAAGUGUGACUGCAGUUCAGGGUCUUUGUUUUUUCUUUUAAGACAGGGUCUGGCUUUGUUGCUCAGGCUGGAGUGCAGUGGCAUGAUCAAGGCUCAUUGCAGCCUCAGCAUCCCUGGGCUGCAGCGAUUCUUCCACCUCGGCCACCCAAAACUGGGAUUAUGGGUGUGAGCCACCACACCUGGCCUCUUAUAUCUUGAUUAAGGUCCUGUCUGGGCCUACAAAGGUUCAAUUUGCUUAACCCCAGCACUUUCCCUCAACAUGGAGGUCCUUAGUCAACAUUAACCAAGGUAAUAAAGAGUUGAAAGUUUUAAUCAUAAGUAGGUGGAGGAGCAUUUAAACUGGUUUAAUAAACUUGAAAUAUGAAUACCUUAAAUAUUCGAAUAACAAAGCACUGGUGAAACAGGUUUUUCUAUGGAAAGACCACAAUUUUCUAUCCAGCACAUUUCAUUUGACUGGGUUCCUUUGUUUCUGUAAUAAAUAGGACUUUGAGAAUUCCAAAUCAAAUUUGCACUUUUGCACAAAAGGUUCACUUGGUGACUCUCAUGCCUCCAUAAGUGUGUUCCAUCUGAUUCUGCACAACCUACUGCCUUCAGGGUAUCCUGGGACCAGCCAAAGAGAUGAUUCCAACCAGUGGAAUCAUCAUUAAACUAGUGGUUCUUAAAAUAUGGACACUGAGUCAACCUGCAUCAGAAUUACUGUAGAUUCUGGACAAAUGUACGAAGUCAACAUCAAAUCAGUGCUACAUUUUGAAAAGGUAACUGUAAUAAAAAGAUUUUUUUGAGAUACUGAAAUUGCAGUGAAGACAAUGUUCCCACCUUUUUAAAAUGGUGUAAUAUUAGGUUCAUUUAUGGAAUGUUUUAUGAAGCAGAUUUGUAUUUUAACAAGCCUUUUAGGAAUGCAGAUAUUAUAGGGGAUAACAUGAAUGGUGGUAAAGAGGGGGGCAUAUUUGAGCAAUGAUUUUUCAAGAGCUAUGAAUUUACAGUGCAAUCCUAGCAGGAAAAGAGAGGGAGAAAAGAACAUCUAUUUUGAGCUGCAGACAUAAUUGCAUCACAGCUGAGAUUUCAUAGUCCCCGUCCUCUCUAUUCCUGUUGAAUUACAUGAUUAAAGGUAACUAUAUAUAUAUGAAUAUAUGAAGAUGUUUAAUUGUUGCAGGUUGGAGAAUUUGGGCCAGGGAGAAUUCACUUGGCCAAUGAGUUAAAAAUGAGAAAAGGAUUAGCAGUCAUCAAAAUUUCUAAGUAGUUAAUUAUCUGCAUGGUGGGUUCAGUAUAAACAAACAUGGUACUCUCAAAUGACUGUUGAUGGGCUAUUAAAUUACAUUAGUAUCCUGUGAACCCUGGUCAUAGCUGGAAAGGAGAAUCUUUUGAGAAAUGGAAAAACCAGGUUAUUUGUACAUAAGGAAUAUGUCUUUUAAACACCCCCAAAGUAUAGAUUAAGACGUGAUUGAUGAAAAGUCUCCAUUUUCUAAUGAUGGUUUUAUGAAACCAAAGUAUUUACAACUAAGAACCAACCAUCUGAUCGCCAGUAGAGAGUGGAAAAUAGGAAAGGGUAACGUCUCAGUAUGGUAUCUGGAGUAGUCUGGCUAGGACCAUAAACUUCAUUUUGUUUACAAGUUCCCAGAAAAUAAGCCUGAAUGAGCUUAGAGCUUAAUACUUCCAGUGAUGGUUCUCUCUUCCCUCAAGUAUACAGAUUAACUAUUUUUGUGCCGUGGGCCUUUUGACAGCCCCCAAAAGCCCGUGGAUCCCAUCUCAGAAUGUUUUACAUGUGUAUUACAUAAUGCUCACACAUUCUAAAUUUUAUCUACCGACUCCUAGUUAGAAAUCCCUUGCAAGGGGUGUUAGGGUUCUGAGAGAAGGCUGGUAAGUAAUGAGGCUUUUAACUUAUUUCAGUAUCCUGUUCAGGUCGGGAAUAUGUUGUGUUCUAAUUACUCUAGUUUCCAGCUCAAUUGGUGUUGGAGAAACUAGCCCACUUAUAAGUGGCUCAAAUGAAAACCCACGGGGAGGCAUUUUUCUUUAAUAAGCAACCCUAAGCCCCCUUUGAAGUCAGUCUGACUAAUCAAAAGAAAGAGGUUAUAUAUCCCAGUUUUGACCUUUUGUGAAAAUAGCCCUUUUACUGUAUGUGAUAUAUUAUUGGCAUCUCAUUCUGCACAGUCCAAAUGAUGUAGACAAAAUAGUGAUUGGUAUAUAACUAUGGACACCGAAGAUCCACUGCAAGGCCUGCCGAUCACUUUACACAGAAGGAGCCCCUUUCCUGAGGUCCGCUUGCUCGCUCGGGGUGGGGUGGUACUUUGCCCUAGUAAACUACCAAGCAGUCCGAACGUUCGCUCCUCUGGAAGACCGAGUUGUGGGCGGCUGCGCUGCGGGGGCAAACUCGCCGCAUGCCCGCUGGCCAGAGCGAGUCGGGGCCUGGCGUUAGGGCAAUCCAGACUGGCCGGCAUGGUACAGGGCGUAUCCCUAGCCGCCUUCUGUGUCAUAUGGGGCGCCGCCCUCCAGCCUAGGAGAGGCGGCCGCUAGGAGGGGCAGAAGGGCCUUGUCUGCCCCGGUCUGAAUACCCCAGGCGGGGUCGGAAAGCGGGUCACAGAAGAGCCCAGUAAACUGCAGGGGUGCAGCUCGUCUCCAGGAACCGGCAACCCCCAGGGCCGCACAAGCCGGUAACAACCCAUAAUCCGAUCCUGUCUUCGGGAUCAGAAGAGAGGACAGCUGGCCCGCGCGCCAGCUCAGUUCCUCCUCCGCAUUCUUCAGGAGGAGCCCCAGAAACGCACUUCCGCCGCGCGGGCCUGCCUCCACGCAGGGCGCGUCCUAGGCCGGUUCAUUUCCGCCCAGCGCUUUCUGUGGCUAGGGGAGUCAGGGGUUUCCUUUUCCCUUAUUCGGGCUCUUAUGUUACCCCCGUUUUCCGUUGAACCCUUUUCUCCCCUCUUGCCCUCCAAAAAAGCAGUCUGCUGCCGCUCCCGACUUUUCUCGCUGAGACACCGUCAGCUCACUCCGAGCCCAGCACAGCGGCCAUCUUCGGUAAAUUCUGGCAGCAGCCCGCCUGUUCAUUGUCCUGUGUGCCCAGAGGAAAGAACUACUCAUUUUUCGUGAUCAAGCUAGGGGAGGCAGGAGCAAUAAUGGCCCUGCUAUAGGACUGGCUUUUAUUUGAAUUCCAACUCUUCUGCCACCUUAACCAGCUGUAUCCAGAUUUUAAAAGUUAAUCUAUCCGAGCCUCUUAUUAAAUAUUAGGUUGAUGAGAUGAUGCAUGCAAAGCGCUUAGAACAGUACUAGGCAUAAAGCGUCCGACAUAAAGGUUAAGUAAAAGUAAGGAAAAGCUAUGGGGAUGUAUUGAGUAUCUCUUUGCCCAAUGACGUAUUAGUCGUAUUAAAUAUGGAAAGUGCCUUUGAUUCGCCGUGCCCAUGGGAGAAGGCAUAGGAAUGGCCUUUUCCCACCUGUAAUCAGAGAGCAGGUGUUUCAAGAACGCCUCAAUAUGUUUGCGAUCUCUCACGCAGCCUUUCAGGCUCCUAAUUCCUACGAAGUUUCCGCUUUUAUUCAAAUUGGCUCACUCCUUUUUGCAGGGCUUUGUACUGAAUGAGUAUUCUUUUAAGGGUGGUGGACAAGCAAAGGUUUGGUAGCAUCACAUUUUUAAUUUCACAGGGAAAAUGGGUAUGAAACAUCUUCCCAAGUACAUCUUAGACUGCCAGCUGACAGCAAGCCAUAAUGCUCCCCAGCUCUUGGGCCCUACACCCCCUCUCCCCCAUCCCCGCUUUAGUUCUUUGUCAUUGCUCAUGGACAGCUGGUUUGGGGACCAGGUGCAGAUGAUGGGAGGUGUCUGAAAAACAGCAAGUGAGAAAUGCUAGUUUUGUUGUUUUAAGUUGCACUGAUGACUCCAGUAGUUAUCUGUGCUGCUUGUGAUAAUUUAUAAGGCAAUGAUAACGAAUUAAACAUACAAAAGAUUAUUAUCUUCCACAGGAAAAAAAAACUGCAAACUUGUGACACCAUUUAUGAUCCACUUAGUCUUGAGAUACUGAGUAAUAGAACUUUCUCCUUUUAGGCUGAGUUAUGAACUUCGGUUUGGUUUCUUUCUGCAAUCCCUGCAGGGCCAUAAAUUCUUGGCCCUUAAGACUGGGUGGCCCAUAACAGACUCAGUGAUACCAUCAGUAACCACAAUUCACACUGGAGUCAAGUUAUCUGAUUCCCACACCAGUUGGAGAACUGGAGAUUCCUUAGAACUUUUAACUGUCAUGUUUUCAAAGUUGACAUGGAAAAUUUUACAUGAAGCUUAAAAAUACAACUAAUCUGUGGUGAUAGAGACGAGAAGAGUUAAGCUCUAAAAUUAGAAGAGCAGUUCGUUUUGAGGCAGCACUGAUUGGGAGGGAGCAUGGAGUAUAUAAUUACACAUUUCUAUGUAAUGUAAAAAUGUAUAGAUUUAAGAUUUAUGCAUUUUAUGUAAAUUUUACUACAAUAAAACGAAAAUGAAAGAAGACAGAUCAUAGUUUAAUCAAAUAUUGUGUACAAAGUAAUUUCUGUUAAACAUUUAUAUUUUUAUGUGUAUAUGUAUCUUUUACAUGUAUGUGUUAAGGAUAUGCAUUAAAAUGGUAAUAACUUCCUCUGCCUGUUGGGAUAAUGGAGAGUUUUGUUACUUUUUGUCUUUUUUUAAAACAUGUUCUUCAAUAAUAAUGUAUUGCUUUUGUAAUUAUGAAAAACAAAAGUUAUUUUGUAAAUCUUUGUUACUGAUAAGAGAUGGGUAUUCUGUUAACUACUCAAUUCUCAUGUAGGAAAACAAAAUAAAUAAUGUCUAUUUGAUAAAUCGAGAAACAGAAGCAUUACUUAGAAAUCUGAGUUACCUCUAAAAUAAUGACUGGCAUUUGAAGUUGAGGAUGGGUCUUGAGUUCCUGUGAUUUUAAGCUCUUGGAUAUGAGGGUUGGGUGAGUUCCUCUUUUUCUCUUUUAAAAUAUAUGUAUGUUUAACUUUGCUAAAUAAAAUUUAAAAGAUGCAA